AUUUAAGUAGUUUAAAAAAAAUUUAGAUUUGUGGUUUCUAAGAUGAAAGAUUUCUUUAAAUU
rnacentral:tRNA from 1 species